UACGGAGGGAGCUAGCGUUGUUCGGAAUCACUGGGCGUAAAGGGCGCGUAGGCGGCUAUUCAAGUCGGGGGUGAAAGCCUGUGGCUCAACCACAGAAUUGCCUUCGAUACUGUUUGGCUUGAGACCGGAAGAGGACAGCGGAACUGCGAGUGUAGAGGUGAAAUUCGUAGAUAUUCGCAAGAACACCAGUGGCGAAGGCGGCUGUCUGGCCCGGUUCUGACGCUGAGGCGCGAAAGCGUGGGGAGCAAACAGG
rnacentral:rRNA from 1 species